AUUGAACGCUGGCGGCGUGCUUAACACAUGCAAGUCGAACGAUGAAGCCGGAGCUUGCUCUGGUGGAUUAGUGGCGAACGGGUGAGUAACACGUGAGUAACCUGCCCUUGACUCUGGGAUAAGCGUUGGAAACGACGUCUAAUACCGGAUACGAGCUAGGACCGCAUGGUCACUAGCUGGAAAGAAUUUCGGUCAAGGAUGGACUCGCGGCCUAUCAGUUAGUUGGUGAGGUAACGGCUCACCAAGACGACGACGGGUAGCCGGCCUGAGAGGGUGACCGGCCACACUGGGACUGAGACACGGCCCAGACUCCUACGGGAGGCAGCAGUGGGGAAUAUUGCACAAUGGGCGCAAGCCUGAUGCAGCAACGCCGCGUGAGGGACGACGGCCUUCGGGUUGUAAACCUCUUUUAGCAGGGAAGAAGCGCAAGUGACGGUACCUGCAGAAAAAGCACCGGCUAACUACGUGCCAGCCGCCGCAGUAACAC
rnacentral:rRNA from 1 species